rnacentral:rRNA from 1 species
UGGGGAAUAUUGCACAAUGGGCGAAAGCCUGAUGCAGCAACGCCGCGUGAGUGAUGAAGGUCUUCGGAUUGUAAAGCUCUGUCUUUUGGGACGAUAAUGACGGUACCAAAGGAGGAAGCCACGGCUAACUACGUGCCAGCAGCCGCGGUAAUACGUAGGUGGCGAGCGUUGUCCGGAUUUACUGGGCGUAAAGGGUGCGUAGGCGGAUGUUUAAGUGAGAUGUGAAAUACCCGGGCUUAACUUGGGUGCUGCAUUUCAAACUGGAUAUCUAGAGUGCAGGAGAGGAGAAUGGAAUUCCUAGUGUAGCGGUGAAAUGCGUAGAGAUUAGGAAGAACACCAGUGGCGAAGGCGAUUCUCUGGACUGUAACUGACGCUGAGGCACGAAAGCGUGGGUAGCAAACAGGAUUAGAUACCCUGGUAGUCCACGCCGUAAACGACGAGUACUAGGUGUAGGAGGUAUCGACCCCUUCUGUGCCGCAGUAAACACAUU